rnacentral:rRNA from 1 species
UGAGUAACCUGCCCUUAACUCUGGGAUAAGCCCGGGAAACUGGGUCUAAUACCGGAUACGACCUUCCCUCGCAUGGGGGUUGGUGGAAAGUUCUUCGGCUGAGGAUGGGCCCGCGGCCUAUCAGCUUGUUGGUGGGGUGAUGGCCUACCAAGGCGACGACGGGUAGUCGGCCUGAGAGGGUGACCGGCCACACUGGGACUGAGACACGGCCCAGACUCCUACGGGAGGCAG